UAAGGGGUAUAUAGAUGUCUUUCUAUGAAGCACAAUUUCAGUGGCAGUAAUUCGUCGGCGUCAACAGAGCACGUACCUCGCAGAACUUCGGUCCCUACCAGCCAGGUGAAACAAAAUGAAGUCAACGUUGCUAAUUAUUGUCCUGGCGGUAGCUGUCAUCACUCCUUGCAUCGCUUACCACACAAGUGAAACCAAAGAGAAAGAAGACAACUCACUCAGACAAGAUGGACGUGCCUUGGAAACGCUGGGAAAGAUUUUGCAAGGAAAAGAUACCACGACUGAAGGCCGUGCAGCUCUGGCUGAACUCGCGAGUCAGCUAGGGGCCUUCCAUGGCACGGACACCCAACUGGAUGAGAACGCCUCUGAGUACUUCUUCAAGAAGAUCCGGAGGGUGGUCGAGAACGUGGCUAAAGUAGUUGUAGUAAACAAAGUUGCUGGUGCCGUCGGAGGAAUGAUUGGAUAAAGAUUAUUGUUAAUAAUUCCCAUCUUCGCUGUAUAAAUUAUAUGUAUUGAAAUAAGGCCAACAAUUUCUGCCUGUUCUGUUUUCUUUCGCAUAGAUAAAGCUAAGAUAUCAUAAAAAAGCUCUUCACAAAGUCCCGACAUAUGUAAGUUACCAUGUUUUCAUAAAAAAAUUGUGGCUAUCUUCUUGAAUAAUAAAGAUUUCAAUCAAGUGCAA